GACGUAGGGCGCGAGCGUUGUCCGGAUUUAUUGGGCGUAAAGAGUUCGUAGGCGGCUCGUUGCGUCGGCUGUGAAAACCCGCAGCUCAACUGUGGGCUUGCAGCUGAUACGGGCGGGCUGGAGUUCGGUAGGGGAGACUGGAAUUCCUGGUGUAGCGGUGAAAUGCGCAGAUAUCAGGAGGAACACCGGUGGCGAAGGCGGGUCUCUGGGCCGAUACUGACGCUGAGGAGCGAAAGCGUGGGGAGCGAACAGG
rnacentral:rRNA from 1 species